rnacentral:rRNA from 1 species
UGGGGAAUAUUGCACAAUGGGCGAAAGCCUGAUGCAGCGACGCCGCGUGAGGGAUGACGGCCUUCGGGUUGUAAACCUCUUUCAGCAGGGACGAAGCGCAAGUGACGGUACAUGCAGAAGAAGCACCGGCUAACUCCGUGCCAGCAGCCGCGGUAAGACGUAGGGUGCAAGCGUUUCCCGGAAUUACUGGGCGUAAAGAGUUCGUAGGCGGUUUGUCGCGUCGUUUGUGAAAACCAGUAGCUCAACUGCUGACUUGCAGGAGAUACGGGCAGACUUGAGUACUGCGGGGGAGACUGGAAUUCCUGGUGUAGCGGUGAAAUGCACAGAUAUCAGGAAGAACACCGGUGGAGAAGGUGGGUCUCGGGGCAAUAACUAACGCUGAGGAUCGAGAGCGUGGGUAGCGAACAGG